GGGUGCUACCAUGCAAGUCGAACGAUGACCCCGGUGCUUGCACCGGGUGAUUAGUGGCGAACGGGUGAGUAACACGUGAGUAACCUGCCCCCGACUCUGGGAUAAGCCCGGGAAACUGGGUCUAAUACCGGAUAUUCACUUCCUUCCGCAUGGAAGGUGGUGGAAAGAUUUAUCGGUGGGGGAUGGACUCGCGGCCUAUCAGCUUGUUGGUGGGGUAAUGGCCCACCAAGGCGACGACGGGUAGCCGGCCUGAGAGGGUGACCGGCCACACUGGGACUGAGACACGGCCCAGACUCCUACGGGAGGCAGCAGUGGGGAAUAUUGCACAAUGGGCGAAAGCCUGAUGCAGCGACGCCGCGUGAGGGAUGACGGCCUUCGGGUUGUAAACCUCUUUCAGUAGGGAAGAAGCGAAAGUGACGGUACCUGCAGAAGAAGCGCCGGCUAACUACGUGCCAGCAGCCGCGGUAAUACGUAGGGCGCAAGCGUUAUCCGGAAUUAUUGGGCGUAAAGAGCUCGUAGGCGGUUUGUCGCGUCUGCCGUGAAAGUCCGGGGCUCAACCCCGGAUCUGCGGUGGGUACGGGCAGACUAGAGUGAUGUAGGGGAGACUGGAAUUCCUGGUGUAGCGGUGAAAUGCGCAGAUAUCAGGAGGAACACCGAUGGCGAAGGCAGGUCUCUGGGCAUUAACUGACGCUGAGGAGCGAAAGCAUGGGGAGCGAACAGGAUUAGAUACCCUGGUAGUCCAUGCCGUAAACGUUGGGCACUAGAUGUGGGGGACAUUCCACGUUUUCCGCGUCGUAGCUAACGCAUUAAGUGCCCCGCCUGGGGAGUACGGCCGCAAGGCU
rnacentral:rRNA from 1 species